AACGAACGCUGGCGGCGUGCCUAACACAUGCAAGUCGAGCGAGAAAGUCCCGGCAACGGGAUGAGUAAAGCGGCAAACGGGUGAGUAACGCGUGGGUAAUCUACCCUACGGAUCGGGAUAACCUGCCGAAAGGUGGACUAAUACCGGAUGAUGUUCUCGCGGUGAUUCCGUGGGAACCAAAGGGGGCGAGCGUAAGCAGCUCUCACCGAAGGAGGAGCCUGCGUCCGAUUAGCUAGUUGGUGGGGUAAUGGCCUACCAAGGCGACGAUCGGUAGCCGGCCUGAGAGGACGACCAGCCACACUGGGACUGAGACACGGCCCAGACUCCUACGGGAGGCUG
rnacentral:rRNA from 1 species